GCACUGCUGAUGAGACCCAGCCAGGUCGAAACAGCUGUCCAGUGC
rfam:Echinostoma caproni strain Egypt genome assembly, scaffold: ECPE_scaffold0004622